UACGGAGGAUGCGAGCGUUAUCCGGACUUAUUGGGUUUAAAGGGUGCGUAGGCGGGAUGCCAAGUCAGCGGUAAAAAUGCGGUGCUCAACGCCGUCGAGCCGUUGAAACUGGCGUUCUUGAGUGGGCGAGAAGUAUGCGGAAUGCGUGGUGUAGCGGUGAAAUGCAUAGAUAUCACGCAGAACUCCGAUUGCGAAGGCAGCAUACCGGCGCCCUACUGACGCUGAGGCACGAAAGCGUGGGUAUCGAACAGG
rnacentral:rRNA from 1 species